AUUUGACGUUAGCGACAGAAGAAGCACCGGCUAACUCCGUGCCAGCAGCCGCGGUAAUACGGGAGGGUGCGAGCGUUAAUCGGAAUUACUGGGCGUAAAGCGCAUGCAGGUGGUUUGUUAAGUCAGAUGUGAAAGCCCGGGGCUCAACCUCGGAAUUGCAUUUGAAACUGGCAAACUAGAGUACUGUAGAGGGGGGUAGGAAUUUCAGGUGUAGCGGUGAAAUGCGUAGAGAUCUGAAGGAAUACCGGUGGCGAAGGCGGCCCCCUCGGACAGAUACUGACACUCACGAUGCGAAAGCGUGGGGACGCAAACAGGAUUAGAUACCCUGGUAG
rnacentral:rRNA from 1 species